CCUACGGGAGGCAGCAGUGGGGAAUAUUGGGCAAUGGGCGCAAGCCUGACCCAGCAACGCCGCGUGAAGGAAGAAGGCUUUCGGGUUGUAAACUUCUUUUCUAAGGGACGAAGAAAGUGACGGUACCUUAUGAAUAAGCUCCGGCUAACUACUUGCCAGCAGCCGCGUUAAUACGUAGGGAGCGAGCGUUAUCCGGAUUUACUGGGUGUAAAGGGGGUGUAGGCGGGAUGGCAAGUCAGGAGUGAAAACGAUGGGCUCAACCCAGAGCCUGCGUUGGAAACUGUCGUUCUUGAGUGAAGGAGAGGUAAGCGGAAUUCCGUGUGUAGCGGUGAAAUGCGUAGAUAUACGGAGGAACACCAGUGGCGAAGGCGGCUUGCUGGACAUUAACUGACGCUGAGGCGCGAAAGCGUGGGGAGCAAACAGGAUUAGAUACCCUUGUAGUC
rnacentral:rRNA from 1 species